UGGCUCCCCAUCCGCUUCAUUCUUUCCCCAAGCGAAGCUUCUUCCUUGCGGGUGCGUAUGUAUCCUGUGCUGCUUACCCACGAAAUGGAAUUCGUUGGCUUUGUUAUGUCGAUUCGCCAUGUGCCCUUUGGGGUGCGGGGUGGACGUGAGGCGGGCUCUGUGUUCCCGGCGUGCCAAGUGCAUUGUUACUUGGCCGUCAUGGCCCACAGAGUCGUAGCUUGUUCUCUCGGAUACGGAAUGUUACGCGUGGGCGUGAGGUCUUGGCCUCGAUUCGUCCAGGCAAUGUCCCUUGACUCGAAUGACUGCCUGCUCCUGUCUUGAUCUUCCCGACCAAGGCCUCGUAAUGGGGCUUACUGGACGAGGGUUGGUCAUGCCGGCGUUGGCGUCAAAGAGGAAUGC
rnacentral:misc_RNA from 1 species